rnacentral:ncRNA from 1 species
CAUAAUCCUAUUUACUAUGCACAAGUAAAGACCGAUUAUGAAUCCACGUGGUAGAUGCACAGUUAGGUUCGCUGUGAGUGCACAUCUAGUAGCAACUAACCAAAAGCAAGUAUAGAUGGGAAUAAGCUAUACCUCGAUAGGCUUAAUGAGGUUCUUGACAGUCUGAUACUAACUGAACAAUAAGUAUCU